rnacentral:rRNA from 1 species
UACGAAGGGUGCAAGCGUUACUCGGAAUUACUGGGCGUAAAGCGUGCGUAGGCGGUUUGUUAAGUCUGUCGUGAAAGCCCCGGGCUCAACCUGGGAAUGGCGAUGGAUACUGGCGAGCUAGAGUACGGUAGAGGAGAGUGGGAUUCCCGGUGUAGCAGUGAAAUGCGUAGAGAUCGGGAGGAACAUCAGUUGCGAAGGCGGCUCUCUGGACCAGUACUGACGCUGAGGCACGAAAGCGUGGGGAGCAAACAGG